CACGUAGGCACCAAGCGUUGUCCGGAUUUAUUGGGCGUAAAGAGCUCGUAGGCGGUUCAGUAAGUCAGGUGUGAAAUCUUUGGGCUUAACCCAAAGCGUGCACUUGAUACUGCUGUGACUUGAGUUCGGUAGGGGAGUGGGGAAUUCCUAGUGUAGCGGUGAAAUGCGCAGAUAUUAGGAGGAACACCCGUGGCGAAGGCGGCUCUCUGGUACGUGACUGACGCUGAGACGCGAAAGCGUGGGGAGCAAACAGG
rnacentral:rRNA from 1 species